rnacentral:lncRNA from 1 species
UCCAUAGUGGUUUCAGGUCGAAGAGUGGUAUACACUAUUAUCACCAUGAGAAUAACUUAUGACACUUUGCAUAACUUUCUAUAUAGUAUUCUCAUAGCGGGUCAAUCCGGUAUAAAUAUUACUCCUAAUAUUCAUACCUAUGUUUAAGACUUGAUAACUCUUUAUCCAUGAUCCAUGAGAUGUGAUCAUCAGUCUACAAACAUAAUAGUCUUAAUGCUUUAAUGUUAUCCCAUUUCACACUAAAGCUCGACUACGGAUACUUUAAGAAUAGUGUCCUUAUGUUUAAUGUGUUCUCAUGAUUAAGUCACACUUAAUACAUUAAACGGACUAUCUAUUCCAGGGACUUUAUUAAUCAACCAUAAUAAAGAAAAUGCCUUU